CUCUUUUCGGCUGAACAGACUGCAGCUGGCGCUUGGUCCUGGAGGCUGAGACUCCACUCUGUGUGUCCUCUGGGUUGCAGCAGUGAACCGGUCCGACUGGCACCCCGCUGCAGGUCCGGCCGCGAGGGAGGCGCGGGGUCAGAUGAGCAUGUCCCAGCGGCCGGCCCGGUGACACGAGCCUGCAGGGCCGGGCCAGGGCCUGGAGAUAGGACCCGCCAGCAAGUAUGCGGAGAAUGUUUUUCUUCGGACUCUCCGGAGGCUCGCAGACCACAGGGAUUCCGUCCGCAGUGACAGCCUUAACAUUUGCCAGAGCCCUGGACGCCACUGCAGAAAUGGCAUUGCCCACCCGGAAAGUGAGAAGGUUGUAUAAAGAGGCAAAAUGAUGGAUUUGGGAGACACGUCGUCAAGGAGAGAGAGAAACAGCUGAAUUGAGACCAGCUCUAAGAAUCAACUGAGCGUUCUCUGGACCAGUGAAAGAGGCUCAGCUCUGCUUGGACAGCCGGGGGAUACCGGGACGACGUGCGGUGCUGGGAACGCCGGCGUGUGGGGUGGCUUUCCCACCACAGCGCAGUGGGGUCGCAGCUGACCCGUGCUCUCAGCAAACUGAAAACCACUCUCUAAUGAGUUUUACAAUAUUUACAUUUUCAAUUUUAUUUAUAGGACGCCAGAUGUCUACAUUCAAAAGAAAAAAAAAUCAUUUGGAAUAUAAGAUCCCACCCCUUCCGCACACCCGGUGGCGUCUCAGGCAUUUGUGCGUUCCCACUACCAGAGGGGUGUGUGUGUGAGUGUGUGUGCCUGCCACCUGGGAGCUGGGGUUGGGGGCCUCUCGGGAGGUCAGGGAGAUGGCAAUGGGGCCUGUGUCCCCACUCUCUGCAUGACCAGGAGCCCGUCUUUAUUUCUGGGCCGCAUUUUCUCCUUCUGUGAAAAGGCUGGGGCGCAUCCUAGCACUGCGACUCUUCGCCCCACUUAAGGGUCACCGUGUCCUCCUAAAGCCCUUCCAGGGACCCCUGAGAAGCAGCUCGGAGCAGCCCUGAGAAAGUGGCUGCGCAGCAUGCCUGUGAACUCGGGUCCUGGAAUCACUAAGGGCUUUUCUUGCUUCGCCCCUAAAUGCGGUCUCAGAGGGACUUCCCUGGUGGCGCAGUGGCUAAAACUCUGUGCUUUCACUGCAGGGGACUCGGGUUUGAUCCCUUGUCUAUGGACUAAGAUCCCACAUGCCAUUCGACACAGCGGAGAAACACAAAUAAGUAAAAUAAUAAGAAGAAAAUAAGAAAGAAAACAACGUGGGCUUAGAGCAUCCAGCCCACAGCAGGGGGGACUGAAAGGUGCUUUGAAAAUGCAGGUUGGGAAUUUUAUUCACUUUGUUUUUGCUGUCAACUGACUCAGCACCCAGACCCAGUGACCAACAGCCCCGCUCUGCUUUAUCUCCCGCAUUUCAGCCACGUCUUGUCUCCAAGUGACACAAGCUCUGCAGAUUCCCCUCCUAAGACCUCAUCUGCCCCAGGCCCUUGCUGGGAAAUUGUCUCCCCUUUCCCAACACAGACAAUGAACAGUGUGCCUUCUAGCUCAUGCCCACUUCAAUACCCAGCCUGGUUCCUUCCUGUGGAGCAGUGCCGGACAGCGGUGUGGGCAGCAGCAAGUGUCCAUGUCCUGCUCGUGACCGGGGAAGCACAAAGAGGGACGGGGAGAGACCCACGGCCCCUGCAGCUCCCGGGGGGUCUCCCCAUGUCACCUCUAUCACUCUUGGGCAGGCAUUGUUGC
ensembl:lncRNA